rnacentral:lncRNA from 1 species
AUAUGGUGUCAUGCUCAUACAAGCCUGUGACCAAAUGUCCCUAAUUUUGCCCAUGACUCAUUUGCUUUGGCAGCAUCUGGAGCAGCUAACUGGUUCUAUGGAUACUUGAGGUGAUUGAUACGAAUUGCAGAAGAGGCACAGCAGGGGGGUAAAAGAGUCAAGCCCUGCACCUCGCCUGAUAUACAGCUGUGAAGCCAAUGCCCUCUGCAGCAGAAAGUGAAAAGAUGAAGAUCUACAAGCACCUUGUUAUCACCCAAUAGUGAGGAUAGACGGGUCACAUUUUAUUAUAGCUGGCAGAGAUACAGAAAAGAUCCUUUCAUCUUGCCUUGCUUUGCCUUUUGACUGCAGUGAUGGAGCAGAGAAUGCAGAUGAUGAGGCGUGUUGGUCUUACCUGCAAUGGGGCAGAUUCUGCAUGAUGUAGGAACCCCAUUUAAAAAAAUAGAUUGCACUGCAUAACAUAAAGAGAAAUAAUAACAUACAAGAUGACAAAACUGAGCAGAGCUUGUUGCGAAUGUUGGCACAGCAAUCUCCAUCUUCCUCAUAUGUGGGGAAUUAGCAUCUGACCUGUCCUGUCACUGUCUUCUAUGACAGCAGAGUGGAUCAGUUUUACAUUAGGGCAAUAUUUUGCAGCAAAGAUUUAAAUUUCUGCUUUUUUUUUUUUUUUUUCAGCCUUCCAUCUAAUGUAUUUUGGGAUUUUGAGACUCAAAGAAGGAAAGAAGGCCAUUUCUGCAUUUCUGAGGAAAGGAAUUUACCUCCUUUCAUAUGCAGAAAUGCUGCAAGUUUGAUCAGAGUUACAAGCUAGAUUGCAACUUCUCCACUCAGAGCUCAUCAAGGAACUGAGUGCUGCAGAAAUGGCUCAGAAGUAACCAGCAAGACUGGAAAAGGGAAAUAAUCUGCCAGCAUGAAAUUCUAAUGGUACCAUUACAAAGGCAGUGGCCUUUUCAAACAGGGAAAGGUGGCUAAGGAGUGCCACGAAAGUAAAAGAAAACCUGCAGUCUUCAUCUUUGCAAAUGCCUGAUGAAAGAUGGACAGAAGCAUGGACAAAAAGGAAGAUGGGCAGAAGCAUGUGUGCAAUGGUAGCU